AGGACGAACGCUGGCGGCGUGCCUAACACAUGCAAGUCGAACGGGGGUAGCAAUACCCUAGUGGCGAACGGGUGCGUAACACGUGAAGAACUUGUCCAUCGGCGGGGGAUAGCCGGCCCAACGGCCGGGUAAUACCGCGUACGCUUGUCGAGUGGCAUCACUUGACAAGGAAAGCAGCAAUGCACCGAUGGAGAGCUUCGCGGCCUAUCAGCUUGUUGGUGGGGUGAUGGCCUACCAAGGCGACGACGGGUAGCCGGCCUGAGAGGGCGACCGGCCACACUGGGACUGAGACACGGCCCAGACUCCUACGGGAGGCAGCAGUGGGGAAUAUUGCACAAUGGGCGGAAGCCUGAUGCAGCGACGCCGCGUGAGGGAUGAAGGCCUUCGGGUUGUAACCUCUUUCGACAGGGACGAAGCGCAAGUGACGGUACCUGGAGAAGAAGCGCCGGCCAACUACGCGCCAGCACCGCGGUAA
rnacentral:rRNA from 1 species